CACUGCACAAAUGAACACGCCGAUGGCCAUUUAGCACCUGCUCUACGAGAAUUAGCGGUAAUGAAGAUGAUGAUGAUAAAACCCUGAGUGGUGAGGAAAGAAGUGGACACCUGCCCAGCCAGCCAGAUGAGGCAUCCUGAGAACGUUGAGGCACAUGGCUGCGGAGCUAGUCACCGGCCCACAACUGCCGGAGGAAAAUGCCGCAGGGACAUCCAGGAAGCUAGAGCCACUGCUUCCUGCCAGCGAGGCCCACCAGCAGAUGGACGACACAUCUGAGCAUCGAUGGCUGUCCCCUCCUCUGCCCACCUGCUUCUGAGGACCUCCUGCACCUUACCUCAGCUGGCACAACUCUCUUACUUCUAGUGUGGCCUGAGGGCCUGUGUUUUGACUCAUGCCAAGACAAAUGUGGUGCAAUCUGUAGGUUAAAGUCCAGAGCUCCCGGCCACCCCAGUGCAGCUUUCUUCAGUGAGGUUUGCAACCACCUGGCCAGUGAGAUAGAUUGGG